AUUGAACGCUGGCGGCAGGCCUAACACAUGCAAGUCGAGCGGACGAAGGGAGCUUGCGCCUGGAUUCAGCGGCGGACGGGUGAGUAAUGCCUAGGAAUCUGCCUGGUAGUGGGGGAUAACGUCCGGAAACGGGCGCUAAUACCGCAUACGUCCUGAGGGAGAAAGUGGGGGAUCUUCGGACCUCACGCUAUCAGAUGAGCCUAGGUCGGAUUAGCUAGUUGGUGGGGUAAAGGCCUACCAAGGCGACGAUCCGUAACUGGUCUGAGAGGAUGAUCAGUCACACUGGAACUGAGACACGGUCCAGACUCCUACGGGAGGCAGCAGUGGGGAAUAUUGGACAAUGGGCGAAAGCCUGAUCCAGCAAUGCCGCGUGUGUGAAGAAGGUCUUCGGAUUGUAAAGCACUUUAAGUUGGGAGGAAGAGCAGUAAGUUAAUACCUUGCUGUUUUGACGUUACCAACAGAAUAAGCACCGGCUAACUUCGUG
rnacentral:rRNA from 1 species